AUGAAGCAUACAAGAGAAACCUCAGAGAUAUGCAAGGCCGCAGAGCUAAACAGAAACAUUUUCGAUGGCUCGAAUGCACUAAGUUCUGACCCCGAAACCGUGGAGGGUGACAACAAGCUGAGGGAAGCGAUGAAGAAGAUCAUGAACCGUUGCCGCAAGCUAGCGGGCAUACUUGGGUGCGCUGCCUCGGUUGACGUGCAUGUUCCUCCUCCUAGUGGGUCGACACGUGCCCUAGCUUCAGCAAGCCACACCGGUGGAGGUUCCUCGAGCCAUGCCGCCUCAUCGUCUCGCCUUGUUAACGAGACCGAGGAAGAAGAGGAAGUGGAUGAGGAGGAAGGAGGUGACGACGAAGAAGGUGAUGAGGAGGAGUACGACGACGACGAUGGACCUCAACCAACUCAGCCAACCAAGUCGGACGAGGGCUGCUCAAAGAGAAACGAGGAGCGUGCCGCCAAGAGGGGGAGGGGAGGGUACUAG
rnacentral:rRNA from 1 species